UACGAAGGGGGCUAGCGUUGCCUCGGAAUCACUGGGCGUAAAGCGCACGUAGGCGGAUUGCUAAGUCAGGGGUGAAAUCCUGGAGCUCAACUCCAGAACUGCCUUUGAUACUGGCGACCUUGAGUCCGGGAGAGGUGAGUGGAAUUCCCAGUGUAGCGGUGAAAUGCGUAGAUAUUGGGAGGAACACCAGUGGCGAAGGCGGCUCACUGGACCGGUACUGACGCUGAUGCGCGAAAGCGUGGGGAGCAAACGGG
rnacentral:rRNA from 1 species